rnacentral:ncRNA from 1 species
UCGGAUGAGAAUAAUCUUAGACAUUACUUAAAUGUAAGGCCGAAGAAGCAAAAAAAAGAAUUUAUCUUAAUCUUUUUUGAAACUGACAGGCAAAAGGAAGAUUAUUUGACGAAGCUUUGGAGAGAACGGAUACCGUCGCCUACGUGGCUAUAACCAACUGGCAAAAGGACAGAGUA